rnacentral:rRNA from 1 species
GACGAACGCUGGCGGCGUGCCUAACACAUGCAAGUCGAGCGAGAGACUUCGGUCUCUAGCGGCGGACGGGUGAGUAACACGUGGGUAACCUACCUUGUAGAGGGGGAUAGCCUUCCGAAAGGAAGAUUAAUACCGCAUAAUAUUGUUUCUUCGCAUGAAGAGAUAAUCAAAGGAGCAAUCCACUACAAGAUGGACCCGCGGCGCAUUAGCUAGUUGGUGAGGUAACGGCUCACCAAGGCGACGAUGCGUAGCCGGCCUGAGAGGGUGAACGGCCACAUUGGAACUGAGACACGGUCCAGACUCCUACGGGAGGCAGCAGUGGGGAAUAUUGCACAAUGGGCGAAAGCCUGAUGCAGCAACGCCGCGUGAGUGAUGAAGGCCUUCGGGUUGUAAAGCUCUGUCUUCUGGGACGAUAAUGACGGUACCAGAGGA